rnacentral:rRNA from 1 species
UACGAAGGGGGCUAGCGUUGCUCGGAAUCACUGGGCGUAAAGGGCGCGUAGGCGGCCUGAUAAGUCGGGGGUGAAAGCCUGUGGCUCAACCACAGAAUUGCCUUCGAUACUGUUAGGCUUGAGACCGGAAGAGGUAAGUGGAACUGCGAGUGUAGAGGUGAAAUUCGUAGAUAUUCGCAAGAACACCAGUGGCGAAGGCGGCUUACUGGUCCGGUUCUGACGCUGAGGCGCGAAAGCGUGGGGAGCAAACAGG